rnacentral:rRNA from 1 species
AUUGAACGCUGGCGGCAGGCCUAACACAUGCAAGUCGAGCGAGCGGCGGACGGGUGAGUAAUGUCUGGGAAACUGCCUGAUGGAGGGGGAUAACUACUGGAAACGGUAGCUAAUACCGCAUACCAUCAGAUGUGCCCAGAUGGGAUUAGAGAGUAGGUCGGGUAACGGCUCACCUAGGCGACGAUCCCUAGCUGGUCUGAGAGGAUGAACAGCCACACUGGAACUGAGACACGGUCCAGACUCCUACGGGAGGCAGCAGUGGGGAAUAUUGCACAAUGGGCGCAAGCCUUAUGCAGCCAUGCCGCGUGUGUGAAGAAGGCCUUCGGGUUGUAAAGCACUUUCAGCGGGGAGGCGUGACCCGCAGAAGAAGCACCGGCUAUCUCCGUGCCAGCCGCCACGGUAAUAC